rnacentral:ncRNA from 1 species
CUGAGGCAGCAGCAGGGUGGACGUCAUGGACGGCCCUGCCCGCACGACGGGCGCUGCUGCAUUCAG